rnacentral:rRNA from 1 species
AACGAACGCUGGCGGCGCGUCUUAAGCAUGCAAGUCGAGCGGGAUCCAUAGCAAUAUGGUGAGAGCGGCGGACUGGUGAGUAACGCGUGGGUGAUCUACCUCUGGGAUGGGGAUAGCCAUUAGAAAUAGUGGGUAAUACCGAAUACGAUGGCGAGACUUUGGUCAUGUCAUGAAAGGCGCGAUUGCGCCACCCGGAGAUGAGCCUGCGUCCAAUUAGCUAGUUGGUGAGGUAAAAGACUCACCAAGGCGAUGAUAGGUAGCCGGCCUGAGAGGGUGUACGGCCACAUUGGGACUGAGAUACGGCCCAAACUACCUACGGGAGGCAGCAGCUAAGAAUAUUCCGCAAUGGACGAAAGUACUGACGGAGCGACGCCGCGUGGAUGAUGAAGGCCGUGAGGUUGUAAAUACUUUACUUUGGGUAAGGAAGUAAGUAGUGGUA